rnacentral:tRNA from 1 species
GGUAACGUGGCCCAGUGGUCUAAGGCACUGGAUUAAGGCUUCAGUCUCUGUGGGGAUGUGGGUUUGACUCCACCAUUGCCA